rnacentral:rRNA from 1 species
UACGGAGGGUGCGAGCGUUGUCCGGAAUCACUGGGCGUAAAGGGCGCGUAGGCGGUUUUGUAAGUCAGGAGUGAAAUCCCGGAGCUUAACUUCGGAAUUGCUUUUGAAACUACAAGGCUAGAGUGAGUUAGAGGAUGGCGGAAUUCUUAGUGUAGAGGUGAAAUUCGUAGAUAUUAAGAAGAACACCGGUGGCGAAGGCGGCCAUCUGGGACUCAACUGACGCUGAGGCGGCGAAAAGCGUGGGGAUCAAACAGG